rnacentral:rRNA from 1 species
AACGAACGCUGGCGGCAGGCCUAACACAUGCAAGUCGAGCGGGACCUUCGGGUCUAGCGGCGGACGGGUGAGUAUCGCGUGGGAAUGUGCCCUUCUCUACGGAAUAGCCUCGGGAAACUGAGAGUAAUACCGUAUACGCCCUUUGGGGGAAAGAUUUAUCGGAGAAGGAUCAGCCCGCGUUGGAUUAGGUAGUUGGUGGGGUAAUGGCCUACCAAGCCGACGAUCCACAGCUGGUUUGAGAGGAUGAUCAGCCACACUGGGACUGAGACACGGCCCAGACUCCUACGGGAGGCAGCAGUGGGGAAUCUUAGACAAUGGGGGAAACCCUGAUCUAGCCAUGCCGCGUGAGUGAUGAAGGCCUUAGGGUUGUAAAGCUCUUUCAGCUGGGAAGAUAAUGACGGUACCAGCAGAAGAAGCCCCGGCUAACUCCGUGCCAGCCGCCGCCGUAAGAC